UACUUAGUGGCAGACGGGUGAGUAACAUGUGGGUAUCUACCCUUUGGCCUGGAAUAACACGAGGAAACUUGUGCUAAUACCGGAUAAGUCUUUACGGAGAAAGCUUUAUGCACCAUUGGAUGAGCCCGCACUUGAUUAGUUUGUUGGUAGGGUAAUGGCCUACCAAGACUAUGAUCAAUAGCUGAUUUGAGAGGAUGAUCAGCCACAUUGGGACUGAGACACGGCCCAAACUCCUACGGGAGGCAGCAGUGGGGAAUCUUGCACAAUGGAGGAAACUCUGAUGCAGCGAUGCCGCGUGAGUGAAGAAGGCCUUUGGGUUGUAAAGCUCUUUCGUCGGGGAAGAAAAUGACUGUACCCGAAUAAGAAGGUCCGGCUAACUUCGUGCCAGCAGCCGCGGUAAUACGAAGGGACCUAGCGUAGUUCGGAAUUACUGGGCUUAAAGAGUUCGUAGGUGGUUGAAAA
rnacentral:rRNA from 1 species